GAUGAAGAACGCAGUGAACUGCGAUAAGUAAUGUGAAUUGCAGAAUUCAGUGAAUCAUCGAGUCUUUGAACGCACAUUGCGCCCCCUGGCAUUCCGGGGGGCAUGCCUGUCCGAGCGUCAUUGCUGCCCUUCAAGCCCGGCUUGUGUGUUGGGUCGUCGUCCCCCCCGGGGGACGGGCCCGAAAGGCAGCGGCGGCACCGCGUCCGGUCCUCGAGCGUAUGGGGCUUUGUCACCCGCUCGAUUAGGGCCGGCCGGGCGCCAGCCGGCGUCUCCAACCUUCUAUUUUACCAGGUUGACCUCGGAUCAGGUAGGGAUACCCGCUGAACUUAAGCAUAUCAAUAAGCGGAGA
rnacentral:misc_RNA from 1 species